GUUGUCUGGGAAACAAAAUGGCGAACUCUCCAUCAGAAAUGUUAGUUCACGAAGUUCUGCCAAAAUAUGGCCUACUUUUCACUGAACAGAGCCCAAUGCCAGUUCUUUGUAAACCUAAAAUAAUGCCAUUAAAGUCCGUGACACUCGAGAAGUUAGAAAAGAUGCAAAAAGACGCUCAAGAGACAAUUAAACGACAAGAAGAGCAAGAGAGGGCAGCUCACGAUAUCAACAAUUCAGAAAAUAUUGAUGAACAAGCAUCUUAGGUAGGUUCUGAUAUGUGCGCUGAAAGAGGAGUUGAACUUCUUGAGUCCAUUCAGUGACAAGUUUACAAUUGUAAAUUGUACAGAAUAAAAUUGUACUUCCACAUCAGGACUCUGUGACAGGAGCUGUGUAAACUUGGGGGGUUGUUUCUUGAUGUGAAAAUAUUAGUGGUGGAAUGUCUCCAGAAUGUUUCCAACCAGGUUUUUCAGAAAUUCUAUGAGUAGGUGGCUGUGUUGAUAAUGCGGUUAGCACUGCUGAACCGCCCUAUCGAUUUUCUAAAGUUGUUUCUUUUUGGAUUUUUUAUUAAUAGGGUUAGAGUUUAUAGGGUUGCGGUCAGGGUGUUAGCCAGGCGGCCGUCCGACCAUCCUACGGACAGCCACUUCUGAAUUUGGACGGCUAAAUUUUAAUGGACGGCCUAAGGGAAUAUUUUCUUUAAAUAGCAAUUUACAAGCUUUGUAAUAUUUCUUGAAUACUACGUAUUGUCAGUGGCGUAGCUGGCUAAAAAAAUUUGUCCCGCCGAAGUCGGGCCCUAGAGGGGUUUGGGGGCAUGCCCCCCCCCCGAGAAAAUUUGAAAUCUAGAACCUCGGAAAUGGCAUUUCCUGCGAUUUCGAGGGUGGAAGGAUGUCACUAAACAAAGUUUCCAUACACCUCUAACAGGAGUAUUUUCCCUUCGUAAAAUACAAAAAAUGCCAUCUGGCUCAGACGCCUCAGAGAAGAUCUGCCCUCUGCACUGAGUCUGUACAGCACAACGAAUAAUUAAUCACUGCACCUUGUAUAUUGUCUCAAGCACCGCGUAUGUUGUUGAAAUCACAGCAAGUAGUUGCAGCACUGCGUAUAAUGAUAAAACCACUGUGUACAGUCAAUGCUCAAGGUACCGCGUAUAAUGUCUCAAGCACCGCGUAUAUUAUGAAAUGUCUCAAGCACCGCGUAUAUAAUGUUAAAAGCACCUUGUAUAAUGUUGCAUGUAGCCAAUAUAUAAUGUCAAAAUCAUCGCGUAUAAUGCUCGAACUCGAAGCACCGCGUAUAAUGUAGAGAGCACCUCGUAUAUAGAUAAAAUCACCACAUAUAUAAUGCUAAAAGCACCGAAUGAAAUGAAAUUCCGCUAUGGCUUUCCAUAAGGUUCGACAUGCUCGUUGAAGCCAUAUUUGUAUACGAAUCACAAAAGCAAUAUCAAAUAUGAUAUGGAUAAUGACCUACCACCCUCACAGUCGUGAAUACUCGCAUAGAAAGCUUUGUCAGAAAGGUUUGAAUAUUAACAACCUCCGCCUUCAUAAAAUAGCGGGACUUCGGCAUUAAAAACAACCGUUCUGGGCAUGCGCUGCGCCAAUUAUCCAACCAGAAACCAGAAUUUCUUGUAUAAGAUAGUAUUGCAUAUUCCGCCACAUGAAAAUCAGCGGAACACGAGACAUGCGAUUCACGAAUUGCGCAAGUAAGCAACAAAUUGCGUGGAAAUUAGCUAAUUCUGCAGGGUAUCAGUUGCUAGACAACAAAGAGGUCAAAGAGCAGACAGCAAUAUUGCGUAAACUUUAAAUAAAUGAGAAAUGAAAGCACUGAAAAUGAUCAUAAUUAAUAUUUAAAUUUUCAGAAUAAGCAAAGCUAUGAUUUUGGCUUCACUAUAAAACAUUUACUCAUUUUUUUGGAAAUUGUUAGUCCCGCCGGGCGGGACAGCGGGACCGCUGGCUACGCCACUGCGUAUUGUUGUCAUCUGCUGUUUACUUUACUUAUGGUAUAUGUUUUUUAGUUUUUAUAUUUUCCCCCGUCGAAAACACAUUGAAUAUGGCUGAAUUGAAGUAUCGACAAACGCGCCAUGUUUUUGUAACCAUGUUGAUGAUUCUCGCAUGAAGUAUCAAGGGGAAUAAUUUGAACCUGCUGUUUUAAAAAACAGCAAUCGCUCGAGCGCCACAUGCUUUAGAGUUAUAGUUAAACACUACACUGCUGUAUUGUGUUCUUUAUUAUAGCAUAUACUGCACAUCAUACUUGAUCAUAUGGUUCAUACCAUACGUGUGCUUUUACUAAUUUAAUGAUGGAAAUGUGCAUCUAAAAGUAAAAAGGUUCAACGAAUAGAACACCACAAUAACAAAAAAUUGUGGCCACGCUCAAAAACAUGUGACCAUAACCCGCAAAAUUAUUUUGGACGGCCACUUUUGAAAUCCUGGCUAACACCCUGGUUGUGGUUAGGGUUAGAGUCUCUGUAAGGUUUGGGUUAGUUACAUCUAUUAGCCAUUUAACACCUCUUCCGAAAAUGACAACAUGUCAGUUUGCUGGAUGGAAAAUAGUAUAUGAGACAAAAGAUAAUCUGUCAUUUGAUUGGUUGGUGCUAAUUAGAUUCAUGGGCGUACCGGAAGGAAAAAAUUAGGGGGGCGGAAAGAAAAUUGCCCGACUUUUCGGGAUUCUGCCCGACUACUACCAAAAAAUUUUUUCCGGAAAAAUUAUGUUGGCGACCUCCUCCCCCCCCCCCNNNNNNNNNNNNNNNNNNNNCCCCAAUAUUUUUCGGAACAUAACACAAAUUUUCCAAAAAUCACAAAAUUUGCCAAAAAAUUGACUUAAUUUUAGACAAAAUUGACAGAAUUUGCCCCAUUUUUUUUUUGGCAAACCAAAAUUGCCCGACUGUUGAUCGAAUAUUGCCCGACUGCCCAAAAAACUGAGGGGGCUACCGCCCCCCCCCCNNNNNNNNNNNNNNNNNNNNNNNGAUUGUUGUUGUUGUGUGAAAUUUAAAUUUAUUAUAUUUACUAUUUUUGUUGAUAUAUUUUAUAGUGAUCACAACUAUAAUUAGAUUGUUGUUGUUGUGUGAAAUUUAAAUUUCUGCAACAUUUUGAUUGGAUACUAAAUAUAACUUUGCUUUGUGUCAGGCUAUUAUUUUUAAAAUAGUACCUGAUCUCAGGUUAGGGUAUUCUUGGGUUUUAUAUGACGUUAUAAAAGUGAGGGGGGGGGGAGGGUCAACUCUAAAACAAAACACAGUUAUCAGAGUGAGUCGAUUGCGCUUGUUUGUGUAUUAUAGCCUUGUGUUUGGUGACAAAUACAUUCAAUUUCGUAUAAUUUUCUCACUCCAGUACAGCAUAAGCAUCAAUACAUUUGAGGUUGACCCCCUGUCAGAUUCACCGUAGUGAAACCCAAGAAUAGGUAACCUGAAUGUCAGGCCUUUCGAAAAAAUAAAGGCCUGAGGAAAAUCUAGUCAAAAGCCUGUGCCGCCCACUUUGUUAUUUUUAAAUAUUUUAGUGGAUUAUUACAAAAGCGUUUCAAUAUUUAUUUCAGAUAAUAAAGUUAGCUGAAUUUUUGUCAUAAACUUCAAACACCAAGGCAUUUCUAGGUCAUCCAUUCCACUAUAGUAUAUAGACGUAGACACAGUAUUUUCCCACAAAUUAAAGACUAAAGAAAUUCUGAGAAUGAGAGCUAUAUGCACAGACGUAAUUCAGAAACUGUUACGCUGUGCGAUCUCCUGGCCAACAAGUAUAAAAUCCUAGGGCAUUUGACUUAAGAUUACCUAUAUGGCCCAGUCGGGCAUUUGACCACUUGAUAACAACUUGCUCAGCGGUUGUACCCAAAAGUUAUAUGUACACUCUAGCGCUUCAGGAGUUUUCUAUUUUACGUCUUCGAUAGUUUAAUUAAAAAUUUCUUCUGAAACACAAAUAUCAAUCAUACAUAAAUGAUAUCGAUAUGCCCAGUUGAACAAAAAGAAGAACUGACGGCCUAUUUUUCGUUGUUUUUAAUCUUGAAAUACUUGUUCAAUUUAAUUUUAACCAAAAUUCCAGGACUAGCCCUAUAGCAGGGCAUUUGACUGUGGUUUAAUCUGCCUCUAUAGCAGGGCAUUUGACUGUGGUUUCUGCCUCUAUAGCAGAGCAUUUGACUGUGGUUUCUGCCUAUUCAGGCGGGCAUUUGACCACUUAUUUUUUCAAAAGUCAAAUUCCCCCGGGGGGGGGGGGGGCUGAUCGCGGUUGGAUUUGACUCGUACAUAAAUUUGUCAACGAAUUUAUUACAAAUCUUUUUCAAACAAUUCUUCCACAAGAAACGAGUCUAUCUCAAUAUAAAUAAAACAAUAUAAUUAGAUUGGGCGACCAAUUCGAAUUUGACCUUAGCCAAUAUGUUUAAUAACAACCAGUCCAACGACGUUACUUAAAUUAGACAGCCAAUCAACUCAACGGCCAUAAUAUGGAUGGUGGCCUUUAUUUUUUCACCUUUUCGCCCGCGCGUCUCUCCUCUGCCCGAUUUUCGCCUUUUAGCGUAAGGCGGAAAAAAUAAAGGCCUGACAUUCAGAUUAGGGUUUUGGAAGUCUUAAAGUCAUCCAAAUUAACUAGUGUAUAAUUUGUAUAUUGAUUAGAUAGCAACACAACUGAGGUCUUUAACCAAAUUAUAAUGUAUAUCACAACAUUAAUUCUUCAGCAAGUUAAGAUUUAAGAUGGCAAAUACCUAACUCAGUUUUACGAAAUAGUAUGUUGGUUUCAAAAAUAACCAGGCUUUAAACUAGACCAGAUUGAGGAAAACUUUGUUUGAAAGCUUAGAGUGGGGGAAGGAGAAUACUUCGAGUGCUAAACAAAGUAACCAGCAGUAAUUACGGUUGUCAACUUAUUUUGAAAGCCUAUGUAAUGGAUUGUAGUAUUUCAUAUCAGAUUAGCCAACCUGAACGCAAUGUCCACUCUAUUAUUUUGUAAUCUCUAACGUCACUCGCAUCAAGUGGUAGUCAUAAUUAGAACACAAUCAUUUUAUUUUAAUUAAAUAAAUUUAAUUUCAAUUUUUCCUAUAGGCUAAUUUCAUUACCAUGCAGCGUAUAUAGUGUUGUGCUAUAGCCCAUACGCCUUUCCAGGCAUAUUAUAGCUUCUGUUAAGAUGCUCCAUUAUCGCGUAUAUGUAUAUCGCUAAAAUUCUAAAUUGCUUGUUUUUCUGUACACAGAAAUAGCUUAUAAGCAAAAACAAAAAAAUGACUUGAAAAAAACUUAAAACGAUUAAAUGUGUUCUCCUAUUCAAUGUUGAUAGGCAGCUAAAGGUCUGGCAAAUGUUUGGUGAUUCUAUCGUUCAGGCACAUUAUACUGUGUAUCUAACAUUUUGUUUCAUUUCAUUAGAUCAUUCCAUUGCAAGAACAGAUUGAGAGCAAACAUGAAAUAUGCAAACGAGACAAGUGUGUGAGUUUCCAUGAGCAGUAAGCUGGCAGACAUACAUGCAUAUCUCACAUAAGUUCAUGUAACUCACUUUUAUCAUAUGUUGUUUAUAUAUUGUAUUAUAAAUUUAUAAUUAUUGUCAACAAAUAUAACAGAAGCUAGAGUGAAGCUAGAAUGGAAGCUAGAUCAUUGAUAGCCUGCGGAGAUGACUGUGUUUUAGUCUCCCUCACAGCCCCUGAUGGAAACCACAGUACAUUUAUAUAUGUCCAGUAAAUUAUUAUAUUAUGGUUUUAACUCGCAAUCACUUUCUGAUCCACUCGUAUCAAACUGUAUUGUAAAAUAUAACCUUUGGCCUUAACUGUCUGUAUCUAAACUUGUUCAGGUUUCCAGUAGUUUGAUCGAUGUAAAACUUAUGUUGUAAAAUAGUGGAAAUAAUAUAUUCAUAGUAGUUGCAGCAGUGCCAGUGAUUUUACAAUCUUCAAUGAAACGGCCUUCAUAAGCGAUCAUUGAUGCAGAUUGUGUAUUUAACAAUGUUCCAAGCAGGCCAAGGACUCAUGCGUGAGCUGAAUAUUGGACUUUUUUUAUGUAUCUAUUGUGUUUUAACGAUAUAGUGAUUUUCUCUGACAACAAUGCUGAUAGCUACGGAAAGUUC
rnacentral:lncRNA from 1 species